CGCAGCGCCUCGGCUGUGCCCACGAAGCAGCCCAGCUCAUCCCCGCAGCAGAUGCUGGGCCCGAAGCAGCGGCCUUUGCCCCCGGGGCCGCAGGGGAGGCACUGGCGGAAGGGCAGGGACAGGAACAUGGGGUAGAAGGAACAUCUAUGGAGGAAAGAAGAAAUCCAGACCCGGAAAGGUUCAAAGGUCAAGGGAGAAACUGACAGCCAGCUUACCUCAGUUCCUGCCCCGACCAGGACCUGGCAGGUACCAGCUCAGGGCUGCCCCCAAGGCAUAAGAAAGUCCCCAGGCUAGGGAAUCAAAUCAGAGUGGCAGCUGCCAACUUAUGCCACGGCCGCAGCAACAACAGAUCGCAGCCGUGUCUGCGACUUACACCACAACUCACAGCAACGCCAGAUCCUAACACCCUGAGCAAGGCCGGGGAUCGAACUCGCGUCCUCACAGAUACUACUCAGGCCCACAGUGCAGCAUGUGUGUUCCAGGCUAGAGGUCAAAUUGGAGCUGUAGCUGCCGCCCUACACCACAGGCACAGCAACUCCAGAUCCGAGCUGCAUCUGCAAAUGACACUACAAGUCACCGCAAUGCUGGAUCCUUAACACACUGAGCGAAGCCAGGGAUCGAACCCGCAUCCUCAUGGAUCCCAGUCAGGUUUGUUUCUGCUGAGCCGCAAUGGGAACUCCUUCUUAGGUAAUUACUUCUAAUGCCAUAAUGGUAUAACCCUUCUACAAACUAAUGAUUCCCAAAUGCACAUCUCCAUCCAGGCCUCUCCCCCAAGUGCCAGACUUGCAGUUACAACUACCCAGUGGCACCUCUCCCUGGAUGUUCAAUAGGCCUUUCCAACUGAACAUGGUCAGACUCAGCUCCUGAUUCUGAGCUGCUCCCCUGGUCAUUCCCAGGACUCUCCAGCUCUGCAGUCACACCACCAUCCAGGGAGCUGGUCCUCCCGGAUCCUGGGACUCACUUUGGUCCAUUGCUUUCCCUCAAUGUUAGUCCUACCUCUAAAAUCGGUCUCAAAUGAUCUGCCUUUGUCCACCCCUGCUUUGGAAUUUCAGAGCCUGCUGCUUCCUUGUCCUAAAAGGCUCGGAUUCCCCUGAUUGCUUUCCAGUGUCAUCUCCCAAGAGGAGCCUUCUCUGAGUUUGCACCUGGAGCGUUCCUCACCCAUACCUCAAUUAUUUGCUAACUUGGUCUAUGUUGAUGAAUUUAUUUUAUUUUUAUUUUUUGUCUUUUUUUUUAGGGCCGCACCCGCAGCAUA